UUGCUGUGAUGAGUUUGGUGCCCAAGUGAUCGUGGGUCGAUCUCAACCAUUUGAUCUUAUUCGGAUGAAAAUCAGUGGCGCAUCUGAGCUU